UCUCUCUCUCUCUCUCUCUCUCUCUCUCUCUCUCUCACACACACACACACACACACACACAGGCACACACAGGCACACACACACACACAUUCUAGUUAGUUUUUAAGGUUUCUGUUCAUUUGUUUAUGAUGCUGGAGAUAUACCUGGGACCUUAAACAUGUGAGGCAAGUGUUCUACCACUGAGCUGUAUACACCAGUCUUGGGGUUUUAAGAAGUGUAUUAGUGAGUGUGACAAUUAGUUUGAAUUGUCACCUAGAAUAACCUAGGGAGAGAGUCUGAGUAAAAGGCUGUCUGGAUGACCUAUGGGUGUGGGAGGGGGAGCUGCCUUGAUGCCUCUAACAGCUUUAUUUGAGCUCUGUGGGAACCACCACUCCCUGAGUUUGGGUUCUGGCUUGUAUGAAAAUAGAGACUAGCUGAGCACUAAGUGUAAAUGCUGUCAUUUCCCUUUGCUCUUGACCAUGUGUGUGACAUGACUAUCUGACUUCCUCACAGUGAUGGAAUUGUAAGCCAAAUAAACCUUUUUCCCCCAAAAGUUGAUUCUGUCAGAGUAUUUUAUCACAGCCAUAGAAAUAAAACCUUGACAGUGUGCAUUCUCUGUACAAGGUGACAGCAUUCAUAAGGACAUUUUAUUCAAGCAUGCCGUGUUCUUUGCCAUAGUUUCCUCCCAUGACCGUCUCCUGUCCCAGUGUAGAGGAACUGGUUGCUGACUCUCCACUGGAGGGAGUUUUGGGCCCUAGCAUCUGUUAAUUUCCUGUACUCUCAAUGGGAUCCACUGUAUGUCACCAGAUAGGUGUUGCCAACCCCGGCAUGAGGAGCAUCGCCGUCACCACCACCUCAGCCGUUCAUCCAGCCUUAUGAGCCACCUUCUGCAGUCCAGCCCCACUUUCAAGCUGCAACCAGAAGACCACUCUCUCCUCACAUAGUCCAGGCUGGGUAAUCAAAGGAUGAUGACCUUUAAAUUCUGGUUCUCCUGCCUCCGCCUCCUAAGUGUUGGGAUUACAAGCGUGCGCCACCAUGUCCAGCUGAUACAGUGUUGGAGAUUGAGCUCAGGACUUCAGACAUACUAGGUGAGCAUUCUACCAACCUACCCACACCAGCUGGAGCCUCCACCCAUGGUAUGUGGGUUUUUUUAGUUAUUUAAAAUAAUUUGUGUUCUUUUAUCACCCGGGGAAGAUCUUUGUGACUAGAUAGAAGC
rnacentral:lncRNA from 1 species